ACGAACCGUCCAAACGUUAUUCGGAAUCAUUGGGCUUAAAGGGUGCGUAGGCGGUGCAGUCAGUCGGGUGUGAAAUCCCUCGGCUCAACCGAGGAACUGCGCCCGAUACUGCUGUGCUUGAGGGAGACAGAGGCGAGCGGAACUGAUGGUGGAGCGGUGAAAUGCGUUGAUAUCAUCAGGAACACCAGUGGCGAAAGCGGCUCGCUGGGUCUCUUCUGACGCUGUGGCACGAAAGCUAGGGGAGCGAACGGG
rnacentral:rRNA from 1 species